CUCUGAUGAAAGCCAAAUUCUGCCUAAGUGCCCGAAUUAACGACCAAAGAGAGAGAGGAGAGUCUGAAGAACUUUUAUUGUGCUUUAAUGCAAAAGGGUUUUUUUUUGGAAAUGGCUAAUUUACAAAAUCGCACAUGGUAACAUUUUCAGAUCUCAGCUGAGAAAGCCCCUGUCCGUAUUCUGUUACCGUUUUCACUGCUUUUAGCUUGGCAUUGGCUCAUGAAACGAUUUUAAUUUUCCACCAGUGGCUUCUGGUUAUUUCUGCCCUUCUUUCCUCCUAACGUAACUGACAGGUCAAUUAAACAUCAGCAUUUUUUUAAUCUGGAUUUCCCCCCAUAACUAUUUUGCUUUUCUUCUAAAACUUCCAGAUGUUUUGGCUCCUUUAGGAUUUGAACGCAUGCAAGUAUAUUUGCUCCUAUUUCAAAGGCAGAGAGCUAGAUGGACCGACCAGAUGUUUCUCUAGGAAAAGCUUGGUAAUACACCAGAAAUCAGGUAUGCAGAAGACCACUGGCAAAACAUGAGAUUGAAUGGAAGGAACAACAGCUUUGGAGCUCUGGGAUCUGGCUUGCCUUCUGACACAAAGCCUGUCACCCAGCACCUUUCAGUUCACGUGGUUUCAGCAUUCCUGUGCAAAGUGGAUUUGGAGGCUUGCAGAGCAGUGAUAUCGGGUGUUGGGAACCAGGCCAGUGUCAACCCCUCAGGGACCAGCGUGCUCCAGAGACGAGCCACCUGAGUUGUCCCCACCGCGGGCUGCGUUCGCUGUGGACUUUUCCAACCUCGAGAGCUACCUGGCUGGAAGCCGCACUGACGGAAGCGCAUCCUCCCAAGGUGUCAGUGAGGACAGAGGCAAGGACGAAAACUAGCAGCUGCUGGGUUAGCGUUUCGUUAGUAGAACAAACACUCUGGGGAAAGCACACGUUCCUCUUCAUGCUGGGACCAUUGUUCAGUUGUCGGCAAUGACGUUGUUCCCUCAUCUGAACUGAGGCCCGAGCUGUCCUUCCAAGGCGCCCCUCGCAUCCUGCCCCGGCCCCCUGCUUCGUAAUCCACAGUGGGCGGCCAGUGUGUGUGAACGACGCCGUGUGUAGGGACGAGCUCGGUGCGAUUCCCAGCAUCGAGCGCUCCGGGUGUGCGGACUGGGCUUCGCUGGAGAGCGCAAUGCGGUCUGUUCCUCUGUCCACCCGGGACGGUUUGUGGGAAUCCUGUGGCAGACGGCUUUGCACAGGGAAUCCUGUGGCAGACGGCUUUGCACAGCCCCUGCAGCGCCUCUCGGGUCUCCAGCAUGCCAUCCACCCUGUGGACGGGCCUGCAGCCCCCUCACCUGCGGCAGAGUCCUUAAACACGUCUUUCUCUCUCCUUCUCCUCUUUCUUUUCUCCC